CUUGAGCAUAUAUGCUGUGACCCGAAAGAUGGUGAACUAUACUUGAUCAGGUUGACGUCAGGGGAAACCCUGAUGGAAGACCGAAACAGUUCUGACGUGCAAAUCGAUUGUCAGAAUUGAGUAUAGGGGCGAAAGACCAAUCGAACCAUCUAGU